GGGAAUAACAUAUUACAUUAAUCAGUGAUAGUUCAAAAGACUGGGAGCGGAGCUGGAACUAGACAGGCAUGAAACCUCCUAAUUAAAUUAUAACUAAAGAUUGAUAUUGAGAGAACAUAACAUGAAGGAAUACAACAAUCACGUUCUGUAGAUGUGGUCAGCAAUGCAUUAAGGACAGGUCAGGAUACACUGUUUCAUGAACUCAAUGGGAACUGUUCAGAACAUUCUCAGACUCUUGUGCAGAGGCAAAAACUUCCCAGAAUGUAAGAGAGAAAGAAGCAAGAGUUCUCAUAGUAAGCAUAGAAAGAUUUCAUAGUAAGACUUCCCACAAUGCCACAGUCAUGUGCAGUAAGAGAAACUGCAGAAAGAAAACUUCCCUUCAUCUCCCCCUUUCUUUUCUUGUUUGCGAGGCAUUCCAGGUGGAUAAGGCAGAAAUACUUCGGGAUUAGUGGUGUGCCAGCGAAUGCCCGAAAUAAGCCUGCCAGGGUCGAUGGGACAAAAGUACUUCAGGAUACGUGGUUUGCCAGCGCAUGCCCAAAAUAAAUCCGCCCACAUCUCCCCUAAGGUUUACUGUUGGUGUUGCCAUUUCGCAAUGUAAGCAGCAAGCAGUUUACUGGGUGGUGGGGGGGGGGGAGAGAAGCCGAGAGAAAAGACUCAUGAAGCUAGGAACGCAUUGAAGAAAACAGCGUGGUAAAAUAAAAAUAGAAAUUAUGAAAAUAGCAUAUUGAAAGAGACUACGAAGCCAAGUAAGGUUAGGCAGCCAAGCGGUAAGCCACUGGGUGAAAGAAUCCCAGAGGCCAGGAAAACCAAUGUCCUGUUUAAUGUGAUGUGUAAGAUUUUGCAAAUGAGAGAUUUGACUUUGAAUGGCUCUUGAAUUGUCAGUAAUAUUGAAACAACACAUGUCAUUCACUUGUUCACAGCCAUAAUGAUGAAGCAUCAGCAAAUAAUCUAUAGCACGAUUUCGUAAAAGUCCAUUAUAUUUAUAUAAUGUAAAAAGUCCAUUUUGUAAAAGGAUUUUGUAAAAGUCCAUUGUGGAGUGCACUGUUCUUUAUUCAAAAGGUGAAGGGCUUGUGAAAUAUAAU